GAAUAGGAGACGAUGAAGGACGUGACUACCUGCGAUAAGGUUCGGGGAGCUGGAAGUAAGCUUUGAUCCGGACAUGUCCGAAUGGGGAAACCCGGUGAGAUUAAUCUCUCAUCAUCCUAUAAUGAAUAAAUAGUUAUAGUGAAGGUAUACCUAGGGAAUUGAAACAUCUUAGUACCUAGAGGAAAAGAAAGCGAAUGCGAUUCUCUUAGUAGCGGCGAGCGAACGGGGAACAGCCCAAACCAGAUUUAUCUGGGGUUGUAGGACCAUAAUAGUAGAGUUACAAAACUUGUUUAUAGUAGAAAUGGUUGGGAAACCAUGCCGUAGAGGGUGAUAGCCCCGUAUACGAAAUAGACAAGACUCGAAAUGGAAUCCUGAGUACGGCGAGACACGUGAAAUCUUGUCGGAAUCAACGCGGACCACCGCGUAAGGCUAAAUACUACCUAUUCACCGAUAGUGAACCAGUACCGUGAGGGAAAGGUGAAAAGCACCCCGGGAGGGGAGUGAAAUAGUACCUGAAACCAUAUGCCUACAAGAAGUCGGAGCCCGUUAAUGGGUGACGGCGUGCCUUUUGUAGAAUGAGCCGGCGAGUUAUGAUAGCAUGCAAGGUUAAGUAGAAAAUACGGAGCCGUAGUGAAAGCGAGCCUUAAUAGGGCGUUUAGUAUGUUGUCAUAGACCCGAAACCAGGUGAUCUAGCCAUGAGCAGGUUGAAGUUGAGGUAAAACUUAAUGGAGGACCGAACCGACGUUCGUGAAAAGACCGCGGAUGAUAUGCCCAACCCG
rnacentral:rRNA from 1 species